rnacentral:lncRNA from 1 species
CUUAAGCUUCGUUCAGGAUUGCGGGGAGAUUGCGUUACGUGUAGUGAGAAAGUACGAUGAAAAAAUACUCUGUUUGUUUUCGUAAGUAAUAUUACGUUCCACAUAUCGUGAUGAGUCGGUUACGAUAUAUUUUCUGCGGUCUCAUCGGAGAACACAGAAGCAUAUCCUGAUAUGCUCUUACCCUAACUUCAUUUUAUCUAAUAGCGUCAGAUGGACCUUAAUACCAAAUUAAGCCUUAGUGUUUUCAAAGUAGAGUCGAACCGGCCACUUGAAUGUGAGACACAGAUAGUCUUAUAUAUAAGAUAUAAUAGGUCUAAAACUCUUAAUCCGGCUAUAGCAUUUUAGAUAGUAGAAGUUAAGAGAGUUAACCAUGCUAAAAUGGAAGUAGUCCUAGAAUGGUGACCCCCUUGGUAGUUGGAGUGUCACAUUUAGUCCCCCCUUUCUCAAGAGAAUAAGAAACUUACAUUAUAUGUAUGGAAAU